rnacentral:lncRNA from 1 species
ACAGUUAACAGUUUGUUGUGGCAUCUAAAAUUUGUGUCACACAGUCUUUUUUCUUGAGUUCUAGGUUUUCAAAAUUGCCUAGGAAGAAGAAAGAGUGAAAGAUUAGUUUGGGAGUCCCAGAUACAGCUUUUCUUAGAAAGUGCUAUGGACCUUCUCUCCAAAACUCAUCUGGAGUGCUGCAGGUAUUCUAACAGAUUGACAAAUAUAUGCUUCUGCUGUUACUGAAAGGUGAUGGUAUUGUGAAUUGAGUACCAUUUCUUCAAAAAAGGUCAAGAACACACCAUGUGGAUCAGAUGGUAACCAAGACUGUAGAUUCCCAGGAAAACUGAACCAGUUGCAUUUCAGUGCACUUGAAGAGAUUUGUAAGGAAGCAAGGCAGAAUGAGCUCACCUUGCCAGUGGACAGGAGACACCAUGAAAAAACCACAAUGGAAUCAGGUAUUAGCCAUGUGAGUUGCUGAAUUCCUUUUUGUGUUUUACAUUUGCAAAGUCAAACCAUACUAUUGAGAAUAACCA